CAGCCGCCACGGGAAUACGUAGGUGGCAAGCGUUAUCCGGAAUUAUUGGGCGUAAAGCGCGCGUAGGCGGUUUCUUAAGUCUGAUGUGAAAGCCCACGGCUCAACCGUGGAGGGUCAUUGGAAACUGGGAAACUUGAGUGCAGAAGAGGAAAGUGGAAUUCCAUGUGUAGCGGUGAAAUGCGCAGAGAUAUGGAGGAACACCAGUGGCGAAGGCGACUUUCUGGUCUGUAACUGACGCUGAUGUGCGAAAGCGUGGGGAUCAAACAGGAUUAGAUACCCGUGUAGUCCCUGUCUCUUAUAC
rnacentral:rRNA from 1 species